GUGAUGAAGGUUUUCGGAUCGUAAAGCUCUGUUGUUAGGGAAGAACAAGUGCGAGAGUAACUGCUCGCACCUUGACGGUACCUAACCAGAAAGCCACGGCUAACUACGUGCCAGCAGCCGCGGUAAUACGUAGGUGGCAAGCGUUGUCCGGAAUUAUUGGGCGUAAAGGGCUCGCAGGCGGUUUCUUAAGUCUGAUGUGAAAGCCCCCGGCUCAACCGGGGAGGGUCAUUGGAAACUGGGAAACUUGAGUGCAGAAGAGGAGAGUGGAAUUCCACGUGUAGCGGUGAAAUGCGUAGAGAUGUGGAGGAACACCAGUGGCGAAGGCGACUCUCUGGUCUGUAACUGACGCUGAGGAGCGAAAGCGUGGGGAGCGAACAGGAUUAGAUACCCUGGUAGUCCACGCCGUAAACGAUGAGUGCUAAGUGUUAGGGGGUUUCCGCCCCUUAGUGCUGCAGCUAACGCAUUAAGCACUCCGCCUGGGGAGUACGGUCGCAAGACUGAAACUCAAAGGAAUUGACGGGGGCCCGCACAAGCGGUGGAGCAUGUGGUUUAAUUCGAAGCAACGCGAAGAACCUUACCAGGUCUUGACAUCCUCUGACAACCCUAGAGAUAGGGCUUUCCCUUCGGGGACAGAGUGACAGGUGGUGCAUGGUUGUCGUCAGCUCGUGUCGUGAGAUGUUGGGUUAAGUCCCGCAACGAGCGCAACC
rnacentral:rRNA from 2 species